rnacentral:lncRNA from 1 species
GAAUACACCUCUUGUAGCGCAGCGGAUGAACAACCUCUAAUAUCGCACUACAAGUUUACUGACCGUAGGAGUAAUCACGAUCAAACGAAAAUGCUCAUGUUGUCCAAGGUCUAAAAGCUACGAAAGAACGCAUUCUCUUUUUCUUUAAAUUUAAUUGGAUCACCGUAGGUUGAAGGAAUUUAACUAAACACAAAUUCUAUAAAAUAAUAACCGACUAAAAUAUUUAAAUUUAUUUGAAUACUCAUAACAAUAAUUAGACAUAUUAAUUAUUAUCAUAUAUUAUUGAUGGACCCAGGUUAAAAAGACUAGUUAUGGUCGUACCCAUACCAUAUCCGUCCAUUAAUCCCAACAAAUACAAAUUUGUCAUUGCAAGGAUCAUAGAUAAAUUAAUAAAGUGAAAUUAUUUUCUCAGAAACCAAACUGGAAAAAAGAAUUUACGAAUGAGGAGUGCAGACAUAAACAUUAAAAUGGCCAUCAAGAACAAGAGCUUCGAUGAGAGAAAUGAGGCCAGACGACUCUAUUCCUUCUCCAUUAGUGACCAAAACUAUUUCCUUUUUCACAAUCACCAUAGAAAUUGCUUUGGAGACUACUUGAAGAAGAAGAAGAAGAAGAUGCAAUAAAAGCUCUGGAUUAAGGAUCACUGUAAAUAUCACCGUUAGAGGUUUGUUCUACACCGGCAUGGACGAAGUCAUUUCUAGCGAUGAGAACUUGCUGGAGAUUUGAAAUGAAAGACGGAGGCAAGAAGUUGUUGACGGAGGUUGUCAUUUCUUGGAUUUGGAGUAGAAAAUAAUUAGCAAAAAAAAUGGUUAGUUAAUGCUAUUUGUAGAGAGGUUAGGGUUGAGACGAUGAAAGAGGAAGAGAGAGAGAAGUAUCGAUGAGAAAAGGGAGGGAAAAUAGCAAGUGUUAGGGUUAGUUUAAGUGAAACGCUCAUUUCACUUAACCAAGGGGUGAUUAAGAGACCCCAACAAUUAAAAUGCAUCUCACAAAUAAUAAUUUUUGUUGUAUGAUUUUGAUCAAAAAAUGUAAUUGGGGUACAAUUUUACCAAACAAAAAAAAAAAAACAAUUAAAAGCCUGAAGGGAUAAAUUCGUUUAGAGUGUAAUUGUUACAACGCGCAAUAUUGGG